rnacentral:rRNA from 1 species
AUGCACGCUGGCGGCGUGCCUAAUACAUGCAAGUCGAGCGAACAGACGAGGAGCUUGCUCCUCUGACGUUAGCGGCGGACGGGUGAGUAACACGUGGAUAACCUACCUAUAAGACUGGGAUAACUUCGGGAAACCGGAGCUAAUACCGGAUAAUAUAUUGAACUGCAUGGUUCAAUAGUGAAAGACGGUUUUGCUGUCACUUAUAGAUGGAUCCGCGCCGCAUUAGCUAGUUGGUAAGGUAACGGCUUACCAAGGCAACGAUGCGUAGCCGACCUGAGAGGGUGAUCGGCCACACUGGAACUGAGACACGGUCCAGACUCCUACGGGAGGCGGCAGUAGGGAAUCUUCCGCAAUGGGCGAAAGCCUGACGGAGCAACGCCGCGUGAGUGAUGAAGGUCUUCGGAUCGUAAAACUCUGUUAUUAGGGAAGAACAAAUGUGUAAGUAACUAUGCACGUCUUGACGGUACCUAAUCAGAAAGCCACGGCUAACUACGUG